GUCGAGGGGUAUAGUUCUUCGGAGCUAGAGACCGGCGCACGGGUGCGUAACGCGUAUGCAAUCUACCUUUCACAGAGGGAUAGCCCAGCGAAAUUUGGAUUAAUACCUCAUAGUAUAAUGAGUUGGCAUCAACACAUUAUUAAAGUCACAACGGUGAAAGAUGAGCAUGCGUCCCAUUAGCUUGUUGGUAAGGUAACGGCUUACCAAGGCUACGAUGGGUAGGGGUCCUGAGAGGGAGAUCCCCCACACUGGUACUGAGACACGGACCAGACUCCUACGGGAGGCAGCAGUGAGGAAUAUUGGACAAUGGGCGCAAGCCUGAUCCAGCCAUGCCGCGUGCAGGAUGACGGUCCUAUGGAUUGUAAACUGCUUUUGCACAGGAAGAAACAACGCUACGUGUAGCGUCUUGACGGUACUGUGAGAAUAAGGAUCGGCUAACUCCGUGCCAGCAGCCGCGGUAAUACGGAGGAUCCAAGCGUUAUCCGGAAUCAUUGGGUUUAAAGGGUCCGUAGGCGGUUUAGUAAGUCAGUGGUGAAAGCCCAUCGCUCAACGGUGGAACGGCCAUUGAUACUGUUAGACUUGAAUUAUUAGGAAGUAACUAGAAUAUGUAGUGUAGCGGUGAAAUGCUUAGAGAUUACAUGGAAUACCAAUUGCGAAGGCAGGUUACUACUAAUGGAUUGACGCUGAUGGACGAAAGCGUGGGUAGCGAACAGGAUUAGAUACCCUGGUAGUCCACGCCGUAAACGAUGGAUACUAGCUGUUGGAAGCAAUUUCAGUGGCUAAGCGAAAGUGAUAAGUAUCCCACCUGGGGAGUACGUUCGCA
rnacentral:rRNA from 1 species